AUGAAUUUAAGACUUUUUAAGACUUUUAAGACCUCCGCGGACACCCUGCAGUAUGAAUCGAGGAUUCAUCGCAUGGAUGCAAACUAUCAUACGAAGAGACCACAGGAGUUCAUUUUUUUCAGACGCUGUGUUGAUACAGACGAGCUACCACAGUGCUAUGAUAUGCAUUGCAUCGGUAGCUCUCCUCUACGCACCAGUGUUUUAGAAGCUGCUGAUUAUUUUGAUAAUGUCUUUUUCAUGCAGUGGGCUGAUUUGUCUGCACUACGUGGAAUUUUUGCAGAGAUUGAUUCUAUGGCUAAGACGAAUGAAGAACCAUGGAGCACAGCUGAUGAUGAAUGCCGAAUGUGCCUGUUUGAGUCGUCUGGGUUUGAUGAGGGGGUACAUGCACAGGUCAAUGAUGAACAUGUGCAAGGUGGGGGUGUGGCUAUGGAGACUGCUGAUUUAAAGGCUGUACAACCCGGACCCCACUGGCUUCAAGAGUAUGCCAUCUAUCUGACCGGAUUGAAUCUGACCUUCCUACACAUCGGAGAGGACAGUGAGCUGGAGGUGGACACUGCUAUGAGAGACGACGGAUGGCCUGUAUCAAUACAGAUCCGUUUAAACCCUGCAUCGCUGGCUGUUCUGCGAUUUACCACGGGGCUCUGUGUGGUAGCCAUCAUCAGCCAUCAGAAGCAAGCGGACUGCUGGGGAUGCCAGUGUGACUGCCCAAGUCAACGACGCCAUUCAUGCCUGCAGGGAGCGACACAUCAUCACUACGAAUCCCACUACCAUGACAUUUGUGUCAUCCUGGACAGACACCCCUUCCUGUUACUUUUAGAAACUGUUUUAAAGAAGACUACAGGGUUGACUGUGUCCCCCGGAAAAAUCUAUGGUGUGGUCGAAUCUUAUCUAUGUGAUUUAAUAUGCAAUACCUAUGAUACCGAAAAACUGGAUUUAAUGACCACCGAAGGUGUGUCCGAUGAACAUCUGCUUCUGAUACAUGAAGCCAUACAAAUGUGGCGUCCUACAUUGUCAUUAGGCAAACCAAAGCCUGGUGGUGG
rnacentral:lncRNA from 1 species